rnacentral:rRNA from 1 species
UGCGUAGGCGGAAUUUUAAGUCAGUGGUGAAAUCCUGCAGCUUAACUGUAGAACCGCCAUUGAUACUGAUCUUCUUGAAUUUAGUUGAGGUGGGCGGAACGUGUAAUGUAGCGGUGAAAUGCUUAGAUAUUACACAGAACACCGAUUGCGAAGGCAGCUCACUAAACUAAUAUUGACGCUGAGGCACGAAAGCGUGGGUAGCGAACAGGAUUAGAUACCCUGGUAGUCC